rnacentral:lncRNA from 1 species
GUCCCAGGAGUUUGUCUCUGGCCUGGCCUCUUUCCUCCUGCUGCCACCACUCGCCUCGGGCGCUGGAACCGGAGGCUUUGGGCUUGGUCAGGAGCCACCACUUGGGUCUGGGGGGCGCCCUCGCCUUGGACAGCUCUCCCACCCCCGGGCUUCGUGCCCACGGUGCCAGCUCUGCCGUGAAUCUCCCCAGCCCGCCGCAGCGGCCUAUGCUCGACGUAGAUUUUUCUUGCCCCUUCGUAUUCGGGACCGACUGGGUUUCCCCCCCUUCUGCCUCCGGCUAGAUGGUCAGCUCGGGGCCAGCCGGGCAUUUCUACUCCCUCUCCUUAGCUAGGCGGUUCCUAGCCGUCUGACCUUUGCUCGGCUGCCGCAUUUUAUGCUGUGCAACUACCUUGCAGUUGCCUUUUCCUUCCCCUGCCUCGGCAGAACCCGAAACUCCUCGGCUACCCCGUGUCUCCCUAUCCCAGAACACAGAGCUGUGCCAGGCCCCAGGGCCCCCGGACCUCGCUAGGUCUGGUGGGGGCUGAAGGUGCGUUUACAUAACGCCGGUUGUGUGAGAGCUGGAGGAAGAGGUUGCGUGCGUAGGAGAGAUAAGGCUCCCACUUUCCCUCCUUCCUUCUUGGUGGUACCAGGCUUGACAUCACCCAGGAGAGAGAAUAGAGACGGUACGUUCUGAGAAAUUCCGAAUCGCCAAG